GUGAGAUGUUGGGUUAAGUCCCGCAACCGAGCGCAACCCUACGUUUAGUUGCUAACGCGUGAAGGCGAGCACUCUAGACGAACUGCCGUUGACAAAACGGAGGAAGGUGGGGAUGACGUCAAAUCAUCAUGCCCCUUAUGUUCUGGGCUACACACGUGCUACAAUGGCCGGUACAGACGGACGCAAAGCCGCGAGGUGGAGCAAAUCCUAAAAAGCCGGUCUCAGUUCGGAUUGCAGGCUGCAAUUCGCCUGCAUGAAGUCGGAAUCGCUAGUAAUCGCAGGUCAGCAUACUGCGGUGAAUACGUUCCCGGGCCUU
rnacentral:rRNA from 1 species